rnacentral:lncRNA from 1 species
UGCAUUUCAUUGAAACAUUUAGAGCUUAAUAACUCAAUCAUACUUUAUACAUUUGGAAAGUAAGCCCACCUGUAGGCAAAGCCUGGACUAAUCACUACUCUGUGGAAGCAGGCUAAUCCCUGCAAAGCCUACAAGAAAUUCUAUUCUUAAUAGGUCUCCUUGAAUCUAAUCUUAAGUCAUGGUGUAGUGCUUAACAUUCUAUGAUUCACUUAGCCGGGUUUUCAAAAUUUAAUAAUAAAUAAUUGAAAACUAAAAUUCUUGAGUUAAGGACACCAACAAUAUCCUUACUCGAUUUCUUAAUAAUUGGAAUUAUAAAUAAGACCAAUUAAAUCAUGAAUACUUUUAUUGCAAAAUAAAUGCAAUUUCAUGUCAUGCUUAGCAUAUAAUAAGUAAUUUACUUAAAAUAUGCACAUAAUAAUAAUAUAAUAUUAUUAUGAAAACUAUUCUUUAAAAUAAUUAAUCAAACUCAAAGAAGUCUAAUUAAUUAAAUAGUGCAGUCCAUUUAAAUGGAGAAGCUGCACAGCCCAAUGAAUAAAUUAAGGGCCCAAAGCAUUUAAUAAAAACAUGGCCCAGCUGAAAUUUAAAACAAAAAUCGGCCCAACAUUCAAGCCCAACAGCAGCCCUAGCCCAACACCCUUCCUUUCUUCUUCCCCCUAUCUCCAUCAGUCACGCCUCUUCAGUCACACGCACGCACACCCUCAUCAGUCUCUCAACUGCUCGUCCCUCUCCCUCUCGACUGAUUCUCCCCCUUCUCCCUCAUCCUCACUCAGCCAAAUCCCGCCGCCGCAGCUUCCUCCGGCGAGGCAGCCGUCGACCGGCCUCCUUCCUUGGCAACGACGAUAGAUACCGCCGCCGCCUCCCUCCGUUCUCACUUUCAAAAUCGCCGCUCAAAGUUCAGAUCGGAAACAACUCAUCCCUUCUUCUCCAGCCGUGGCCGGACGACAGCGGCAGGGCCGCCGCGCCCUGGUCUCCCUCUGUUAAACCCAGCCCGGACCAGUCACCGCUCCAUUCCCCGUCACUCCCCCUAUCCUCUCUCCUCCUGGGCGACGACGACAACGCCGCCGCCUCCCUCAACUGCUCUCUCUCUCUCGGCCUGUUACAGUGGCGAACCACCACCACCGGACGGACAGCAGCGAUGAGCUGCCGUCGCCCGCUCCUCUUGGCUCUUCACCGACAAGCAGCAGCAAGAGCCGCCCGCCGGAGCCCUAGGCUCAGCCUCCUCUCCUCUCGGCUCUCCCCUCAAGCCCUCGCCGGAGAAACGGCGAUGAGCCGCCUCACGGCCUUCGACUCUCUAUCAUUUCCAGCCAGACCGACAGUGGCGCCGAGCCACCGCCGUCGACCUUCUGCCCAGACUCGACAUACAUAGACAAAGCUUAAAACUUUUCUUUCUUCUUUUGCAAAUCAUGCUCUGAUGUAAAAGUAUGAAUACAUGAAUGUCAUUUUGUUUCAAAAAUUGAUACACGAAAACUGAAUUUGCUAAAUGGGGAAAUCAGUUGUUGGGAAUGCGCAGCGUGUGAUUCAAUUGGAUGGUUUACAUGACAUGAAUUUGGGUUGCUCAAUUGAAAUAUGAAAUAAAGCAACAAGGGAGUUAAAGUUUAAACCUUUAGAAGUUCACUUCAAAACUGAAAUGGUUGGCUGCUGAGUUUGCUUGACUGUUCUGCUCUUGAACUUUGUUUGGGGGUGAUGGAACGAGGGGAGUGAGUAAAGUGAGAGAAAGGAACUUGGCUGUUAUAUAAUUGAAUUUGCAGAGGAGUAGGAGUUGAUUGCUCCUGCAAAGCAUAGUGUGUAGGGUGGCUGAUGGGUGGUUGAUGGGAUGCAUGCUUUUAGCUAACUUUUGGGGCUGAUUGGACAAAUAAAAUCCCUCAGGAUAAAAUUGUCGAAACUGUAGAAAUUCUUCAGGGUUGGCUAAUAAAACUCGUGAAAAAUGCUUGAAUGCUAAAUUAAAUAAAUAUGCAAGCAAUAAAUUUAAUAACUAAAUUUACAAACUUUUUGUAAAUCAUUUUUGUUGGAAUUAAAAUAAAUUCUUUUCUUUAUCCGACGUGAAUCAUCUUAAAUCUAAGUUCAAAAUUAUUCUAAACUUAGCUCGAGGAAACGGGGUAUUACAUCCCUCCCUCCUAAAAAAAAUUCCCGUCCUCGGAAUUCAUAUCUGGAUUCUAGCUUGUGAUACUAGUCAUUCUUUCAUUCUCUCUUUUGUGGCCUUUUCCAUCCUGUGAUGGUUCCACUCAUGACGAGAACAAAAUUAUUGUCUCGUAAAACUUGAACCUUGCGAUCAAGUAUCUGGACUGAUUUCUCUUCAUAACUUGUCCUGCUAGGACUACUUACUUGCUUAACACAUGCUUUGGAUCAAACACACGCUUUCUUAAUUGCGAGACGCAAUACGUAUUGUAACAUCCACAAUGCUUGGUGGCAGAGCCAACUUAUAGGCUACAAGGCCUAACUUACUAGGAUCUCAAAAGGUCCUAUAUACGGGGUUCUUCCCUCUUUCCAAACGUAAACUCCCUGAGGGAGAAACUUUGAGGAAAACUGAUCCCAACAUUGAAUUCUAACUCCGAUCGGCGUUUAUCGGCGUAAGACUUUUGUCUAUCUGAGCUUCUUUGAUUCUUUGCUUGAUGGGUCGACUUUCAACCAUCUGUUGGACCAGUUAGGACCAACACUUUCUUUCACCAUUCAUCAGUAAAGUGGUGACACAUUUUCGGCCAUACAAAGCCUCAUAUGGAGCCAUUCCAAUUGUUGCUUGAUAAUGUUGUUAUAAGCAAAUUCACAGAGGUAACAAAUCCUCCCAAUUCCACCUUUGUCUGCGACAAUCGUUCGCAACAUAUCUUCUAGAAUGAAUCGUUCUUUCUGACUGCCGUCAGUCUGAGGGUGGUACGCUGUGCUGAUGUUCAGCUGAGUGCCCAUUGCUUCUUGUAAAUCAUUUCCAGAGACGCGAUGUGAAUCUGGUUCACGAUCUGUCGUGAUAGAUACAGGUACACCGUGAAGGCGUACUAUCUCCUUGACAUCUAAAUUUGCAAGUUUCCCAAUCCAGAAGUCAUUUGAAUUGGCAGAAAGUGCGCUGACUUUGAUAUCGGUCUACUAUGACGCUAUAUCUCUUUUCAUUCCUGUUCACCAGAAAAUUUUCUUUAAAUUCUGGUGCAUCUUUGUACUGCCUGGAUGUGCAGUGUAAGGAGUAUCAUGAGCCUUGCUCAUAAUCUUUCUUUAAUCUUCUUGUGACACACAAUCUUUACCAACCAAAGUGGUUAUUUUGCUUCAGUGAAUCCUUUCGUUUCAUUCGUUCUUGCAGCGAGACGCAUCUUCUCCAAGAACCAAUCUUCUCUUUGUGCUUGCACAAUUCUUUCUCUCAAAUCAGGUUUAGCUGUAGUGCAGCUACCAACCGAUCUAAUCUGGGGGAUAAACAAUUUCUAACUAGUGACGAAGUCACGAAUCAGUCUUUGUUGGGUGAUGAAAUACCCUAGCUUAGCCUUCUCUUUCGACUCAGGGCGUCAGCUACUACAUUCGCUUUUCCUGGAUAGUAACUGAUGGUGCAAUCGUAAUCCUUUACUAAUUCGAGCCAUCUUCGUUGUCUCAUGUUCAAAUCCUUUUGCUCGAAAAGUAAUUCAAACUCUUAUGAUCUGUAAAGAUCUCACACUUAACUCCAUAGAGGUAGUGUCUCCAAAUCUUCAGCGCGUGCACGACGGCUGCUAGUUCUAAAUCAUGAAUCGGGUAGUUCAGCUCAUGGGGCUUCAAUUGACGAGACGUGUAUGCUAUCAUUUUUUUUUUUGAUUUUGCAUCAACAUGCAACCCAAUCCUAGUUUCGAGGCUUCAGUGUACACCUCAAAUUCUUCAUUCUCUUCUGGUAUUGCUAACACUGGUGCAGUAGUCAGCCUAGUCUUGUGCUACUUAAAACUUUGUUUACAAGCUUCGGACCAAACAUACUUAGUCCCUUUUCUUAAAAGUCGAGUCAUUGGCCUAGCCAAUUUCGAGAAUCUUUCGAUGAACCUUAUAUUGUAACCUGCUGGACCGAGAAAACUACUGAUCUUAUUGACAUUUGAUGGUGCCUUCCAUUCCUUGACUGCUUCGACCUUGGCGGGGUCUACUUUGAUUUCUUCAGUUGACACUAUGUGACCGAGAAACAUAACUUCCUUUAACCAAAAUUCACACUUGUUGAAUUUGGUAAACCAUUUCUCAUUGCGCAGGGUUUUGAGUACGAUGCGUAAGUGCUCUUCACGUUGUUCUUCGGUCUUAGAGUAUACGAGGAUGUCGUCGAUAAACACUAAGACAAAACUAUCGAGAUACUGAUGGAAAACUCUGUUCAUUAAGUCCAUGAAAACUGCUGGGGCAUUCGUUAAAUCUAAGGGCAUCACUGUGAACUCGUAAAGUCCAUAACGCGUUCGAAACGCUGUCUUUGGAAUGUCUUCUCUUUUCAUCCUGAGUUGGUGGUAAUCAGAUCUUAGGUCAAUCUUGGAAAACACACCGGCUCCUCUCAACUGAUUUAACAGGUCGUCUAUCCUCGGAAGAGGAUAUCUAUUCUUAUGAGUUUGCUUCAACUUCUUAUAAUCAAUACACAUCCUUAGUGUAUCAUCUUUUCUUUGACAUCUUUAAUUAGUGCUCCCCAUAGUGACAUACUAUGUUGCAUGAAACUAGGUCUGGUGAAAAUUUGGUAAUUCAUUGGGAAAAAUAUCUUUGUACUUUCAAAUCUGUUGAACUUCCUUAAUUGUUUCCUUCGUCCUAAGUCACCUUCUCAGAUUGACUAGGGAAUUCUAACAUCAAACUUUUCUCAUCGUCUUCGUAACUUUCACUUCGAGGAUUAAUGGCACUCCUUCUGCCCUGUAAACUCAUUUUCCCAUUUCCAAAUGGUUAUUUAAUGGGGGUUUCUAAGUUUCCAUUGUGGUGGCGUUCCAACUUUAUUCUUGCUGUAGCUUCUGGCACUUUAGCCAAAGCAUUCACUCUCUUAGCUUGAGCCUACUAGCCUUGGGGUUGGGUUAUACCUUAAGUUUAGUUCUAGUGCUUUCCUCUAUUUCUUUCAUUCCAUUUCCUUUUUCUUUACCUCCAUCUUGAGGUGGUGUACAUAUCUUGUUUGUGCGUGAACUUUUUACUUCUCCAUUGUUGUAGUGACUCGGUGGUGAGAGUCUCGUUCAUUGCUUGUUCCUUCGUAAUGUCUCCCUGGUUCACUAGGGGAAUUGAAUAUCUCAUGACGCGAUUCAUUUACGAACUCCUUUACGCAUUUCUUAUUAUUGUCCACCAUGUGGACCACAUAUUGACAGCUGGUUGAAAACUUCAUCAUACUUGCUACCUGCUCCAGUUCUUCGCUUGGGAUUCCAAAAAUCGCUUUGAUUACCAAAAGACAGCUUGAUACUUAGUGCAUCGUUCUAAUGGUUGAAAACUAAUGACUCGUAAUAAAAGGAUAUUCUAUUGUGACAACUAUAUAGUGCGAGUCUAUAUAUUGUGAUGAUGCUCUACCUCGAGAUCAAAAAUCUUAAUUGACAAUCACCGAGAUCUUAGUCAUGUGGGCUGGCCAGACCCAACAAAACGAAUCACUCAGUCAAAUGGGAGCUUCGCCCCCAAUCAUGUCAACUUCUUAUUCAUGUAAGGCUCUGGUCAAACUUCUAACUUAAAACACUUACUAACAAGUACUUCAUCAUCAGUUACUGAUACCAUGAAAGUCCAUUCUAUGCCGUUCUAGCAAAGCUAUCACGACUAACAUCAUAAUCAUAAGCAACAUAAGUUCUUAUGUGAAAAACUUAAUCUCACCGCUAUUGAAAUAGCUCAAGUGAAUCCUUAGUCUUAAGGCAGUGCCUCUAUGUUGUAACAUCUCUAUGUUAAACAUUUCUAUCUUACCAGUCUUUACUUAAAUCGAUCAAGCGGUGCUAUCACGAUUAACAUUCUCAAAGCAUUCUUGGGUGGUACUCAAACGGUUUGUAAGAGGACCCAUCAUUCUAAUCGUAUAGGCAGCUAGCCUAAAACGACAACAUAAAGCUUUCUCAUUCAUUCAUACAUACAUACAUACUUCUGUUUCUUUUGAAACCUUAACAUAUAUGGACAUUUAAAGUCCCUUUCAUGAAAACUUUGCUGGUGCCGGAAAGAUUCAAAGAAUCUAACUCGACAAUACAUCUGGUAUUCGUGAAAGGCUCAAUAGUCCUGAACACGACUUUAACUCAUCUUAUCGUUAAGGGCUCGGGUUGUCCCAAACACGAUACUUACUUAUCUUAUCGUUAAGGGCUCGGGCAAAUCUCGGGCCUACUACCUCGGCGUCCAGAGCUUGGCUGAACAAUUCAGAGUUCAUAAACUCAGUAUAAUUGUCGAGUACCUUAGGCCGGAGUGAAACUUGUCUAUCAUCUUUUCUUCUAUGUCCACCUACUGUGGGGCCUAACGGACAUGCUGCAGAAAAUAUGGUCAUACUUGGUCAUAUCCCAUCUUGUUUUGCUUUGGAUUAAACACUUCUUUUCCUUUCCUCUUAUAACGGCUAUUAGAAAUAUAAUUGUCAUAUACCCCCGUCUGAAAAUCUUCUAAGACAAGUCUGACAGCUCUUCUUGAGUCAUCGCUUUUCUUUUGGCCUUCAACCAAAAUCUACAAAUUCAGUCAAUUGGAAUGCAACACAGAAAGUCGUUCAUGUACACAAACUAUAUAUUACGGUCUCAAUUUGGAUUCUGAAUUUCUAUCAUAAUGAGUGGUCGAUAAUAUUCAUAGGACAAAGACUAAUCUCAACUAAUUUAAACACAAUGAGAGACAACUAUACAAAGCUAUAGUUUGGGUGGUAUACUAGGUCAGUAGACUAAUACUUCUUAGUCUUAUCGAUAAAGGGAAUCUACUAUGACAACUCACGAGUUGCAAGGCUCAAAAUCAACACAACAUCAAAGCAAGGUGUUGUAGAAAUUGUUCAAGAGAUUCAAAAGAAUGACCAGAGGGUAUGAAAUGAUUAACUACAAGGUCGAACAAAAUGACCUCGAGUAAGAACCCGUCUGGCUUUUCAACCGAAAGUUGAAACAUAUAGGUUUUCAACCCAAAAGACGUCUACUGAGAUUUGGAUCAUGUGGACUGGCCAGGUCCAACAUCAUCACUUCCCAGUCACACGGGAAACAUUGUCCCGAACUUGAGAAGUCGUGGACAUACUAUACAUAACGAAACUUGAGUUCGUAGUGGCAGCUUAAAGCUCAAACUUAAGGUUCUAGUCCUAUUGAACUAGACUCUUAUUCCCCAAGGUCUACAUACAGACAGUCGAACCAUAUUUUCUUAUAUAACUUGUAGUCCCAAAGACAUGGGCAACAGUCCAAAGGCGUGUAUACUGAGCUAUAACAAUUCUUAUGUCGUCGUCAAAAGCUAUACUAAAAUCCCGAUAUGCCCGGGUAGUCUCUGCUGGGUCAAACGCGGAGCUUUCCUAACCAUCGGAAUAUGCCUGGACGUAACCCUCUUUAAUAGAUAAGGGAAAGUGUGAGUCUUCUUAUACGUAAGUAGACGUAAAACUCUUAAAUGUACAAGGUUAUGAACAUACUAUGCAUAACAAAACAUAAGUUUCAUUAAGACAACUAAACUUAUUUUAAGGUCUUCUAUUCUAGUGGACUCGGAUCCCAUUUCCCAUGUAUGUCACAAAUAUAUAUAUAACCCGCAGACAAUCAAAUCACGCCCUUUUUAUAAUCUAUCGUGUAACAUAAGUCGAUUCGAUGUUCCAUCGUGUGUAAACAUUCGAACGUAGAGACUUAUGCUUAAACCCUUGAUGCAACGUUUGCCUUGAAUUCAUCUUGUAUCAUCAUUCCGUGCUUUUCCUUCAACGCGUACAUGUCUUUUCAUUCCUCUUUGUAAUUCAAAAGAACCAUUGUUUUCUUGUGGAAGCUGAAAUGCUCUAAGUUCUCUAUCAUUCUUCUAAAUCAUCACUUCAAGAAUCUAGAUUGUAGAGAUAUCCUACUAAUCCAGCAGUCUAUGUUCUUUUAGAAUCGUGAUCAUGCAACUUAUAGCAAUCUAUGUUUUCUGGGGAAAGCAUGUGUCAAUUCUCUAUCAUCCUUCUUAUUAUAUCAUCAUAACUGCAAUGAUAUGCCAUGAAAGGCAAAACAUUCAACAUUUCAAUGAAAGGCAAAACAUUCAACAUUUCAUCAUAGCAUGCUCUUUACAUAAACAUCUUCAUGAAACAGUUUAGAACAAUAACAUCUUUAAAACAUUGUAACUGCAGUUACCUUUUUCCUUGAUUGAGCACGAUGCAAUGGAGUGUUGAGCGGUGUCGUAUUAACCCACGUAUGUCUAGUGAAUCAAACUAGACUUGGCUUUUUUUAGAAUAAGGUUUCUAGGGCCAGAGCAAACGAACUGCUCUGAUACCACUCUGUCACAGCCCACUAUCCCAAUGACGGGUUAACCGGGGUUAUGACUUGGGGUGAACAAUAAGAAACGGAAAUUAAAGGGAAUCUACUAAAUAACCAUCAUUAAUAACAACAAACUAGUGGUAUAUAUAUAUAUAUAUAACCACUUGGGUAAUUAACAAACGAGCCUGCCAUAACGACUAGACCCCAAAUAGAAAGUUAAUUAAAAUGAAGUAGUAAUAAGUUCAAGUAGAAAUGAUAAAUAAGUCAGAGUGUUUGCAGCGGAAAAACGUGUGAGUUAUGCAUAUGGAGAUGCAUACUCAAGGUUUCAUUACAUAAACAUCAAAAGAGAAAUCCGCUCAACACCGAUCCAUUCCAUCGCCUGCUCAACCUGCACAUUUAGAAAUACAUGCAGGGCUGAGUAUAAAAAUACUCAGUGACAUAAGCCGAAAUACAACAUGCAUACAUAUAUAAAUUGAAUUGCCAUAACAGUAACACACAGGGGUUUUCAUAAAUGACCUGCGCUUACUAAAACAUUUCGUUCAUUUUCAUAAAGAUGGAUGCAUCCCAUUUUCAGUCUAUAUGAUCCAUAUCUGUCCUUUCUAUCACGCGCCGGGAAGGAGGCCUCCUUACCACGGACGCCAAGACCGGUCGCAAGCGACUCGCGGUCUCCAUGAGUGUACACGUUAACCCUAGCUAGCGACCUUUGUCUAGCAUAGGAUCCCAAUUGGAUUUCCUUUAAAGUUGGCGAACCAACACAGAUAGGAUACAUAUAAAAACAUAAACAUUUUGGCAGUCAAUCAUUUCAUAAACAUUUCAUUUUCAUAACAUUUUCAUUUUCAUAAAGGGCAUUGAACAUAUAAGCAUUUUAUAAGAACUGAAUAAAUAGUCAAAACAUAUCAUGCAUAUAUAUUCGCAUAUGAGGCCUACGUCACGCAGGGGAUCUCUAUAUACGUAAUAAUAAAAUAAUGCCCACCUGUAUAGGCAAAGCCUGUCGUUUAACCUUAUCUCUGAAUCGGAAUAGCAGUGCUAAUCCUCCUGAUGCUCAAAGCCUACAAGAAAUCUAUUCUCAAUAGGUCUCCUUGAAUCUAAUCUUAAGUCAUGGUGUAGUGCUUAACAUUCUAUGAUUCACUUAGCCGGGUUUUCAAAAUUUAAUGAAUAAAUAAUUGAAAACAUUUCUCUUGAGUUAAGAACACCAACAAUAUUCUUACUCAUCUUUCUUUAAUAAUUGGAAUUAUAAU